AGAGUUUGAUCCUGGCUCAGGAUGAACGCUAGCGACAGGCUUAACACAUGCAAGUCGAGGGGCAGCAUGAUUUGUAGCAAUACAGAUUGAUGGCGACCGGCGCACGGGUGAGUAACGCGUAUGCAACUUACCUAUCAGAGGGGGAUAGCCCGGCGAAAGUCGGAUUAAUACCCCAUAAAACAGGGGUCCCGCAUGGGAAUAUUUGUUAAAGAUUCAUCGCUGAUAGAUAGGCAUGCGUUCCAUUAGGCAGUUGGCGGGGUAACGGCCCACCAAACCGACGAUGGAUAGGGGUUCUGAGAGGAAGGUCCCCCACAUUGGUACUGAGACACGGACCAAACUCCUACGGGAGGCAGCAGUGAGGAAUAUUGGUCAAUGGCCGAGAGGCUGAACCAGCCAAGUCGCGUGAAGGAAGAAGGAUCUAUGGUUUGUAAACUUCUUUUAUAGGGGAAUAAAGUGGAGGACGUGUCCUUUUUUGUAUGUACCCUAUGAAUAAGCAUCGGCUAACUCCGUGCCAGCAGCCGCGGUAAUACGGAGGAUGCGAGCGUUAUCCGGAUUUAUUGGGUUUAAAGGGUGCGUAGGCGGCACGCCAAGUCAGCGGUGAAAUUUCCGGGCUCAACCCGGAGUGUGCCGUUGAAACUGGCGAGCUAGAGUACACAAGAGGCAGGCGGAAUGCGUGGUGUAGCGGUGAAAUGCAUAGAUAUCACGCAGAACCCCGAUUGCGAAGGCAGCCUGCCAAGCCAUUACUGACGCUGAUGCACGAAAGCGUGGGGAUCAAACAGGAUUAGAUACCCUGGUAGUCCACGCAGUAAACGAUGAUUACUAGGAGUUUGCGAUACAAUGUAAGCUCUACAGCGAAAGCGUUAAGUAAUCCACCUGGGGAGUACGCCGGCAACGGUGAAACUCAAAGGAAUUGACGGGGGCCCGCACAAGCGGAGGAACAUGUGGUUUAA
rnacentral:rRNA from 1 species